GACGAACGCUGGCGGCGUGCCUAAUACAUGCAAGUCGAACGAACCGCGACUGAGUGCUUGCACUUGGUCAAGGUGAGUGGCGAACGGGUGAGUAACACGUGGGUAACCUACCUCAUAGUGGGGGAUAACAGUCGGAAACGACUGCUAAUACCGCAUAGGACAUGGAAUCACAUGAUUCUGUGAGGAAAGGUGGCGCAAGCUAUCGCUAAGAGAUGGACCCGCGGUGCAUUAGCUAGUUGGUAGGGUAAGGGCCUACCAAGGCGAUGAUGCAUAGCCGACCUGAGAGGGUGAUCGGCCACAUUGGGACUGAGACACGGCCCAAACUCCUACGGGAGGCAGCAGUAGGGAAUCUUCCGCAAUGGACGCAAGUCUGACGGAGCAACGCCGCGUGAGUGAAGAAGGUCUUUGGAUCGUAAAGCUCUGUUGUUAGAGAAGAACAGCGCAUAGAGUAACUGUUAUGCGUGUGACGGUAUCUAACCAGAAAGCCACGGCUAACUACGUG
rnacentral:rRNA from 1 species